rnacentral:rRNA from 1 species
UAAAGAAUUUCGGUAUGGGAUGGGGAUGCGUUCCAUUAGUUAGUUGGCGGGGUAACGGCCCACCAAGACAACGAUGGAUAGGGGUUCUGAGAGGAAGGUCCCCCACAUUGGAACUGAGACACGGUCCAAACUCCUACGGGAGGCAGCAGUGAGGAAUAUUGGUCAAUGGACGAGAGUCUGAACCAGCCAAGUAGCGUGAAGGAUGACUGCCCUAUGGGUUGUAAACUUCUUUUAUAUGGGAAUAAAAUGUUCCACGUGUGGGAUUUUGUAUGUACCAUAUGAAUAAGGAUCGGCUAACUCCGUGCCAGCAGCCGCGGUAAUACGGAGGAUCCGAGCGUUAUCCGGAUUUAUUGGGUUUAAAGGGAGCGUAGGUGGAUUGUUAAGUCAGUUGUGAAAGUUUGCGGCUCAACCGUAAAAUUGCAGUUGAAACUGGCAGUCUUGAGUACAGUAGAGGUGGGCGGAAUUCGUGGUGUAGCGGUGAAAUGCUUAGAUAUCACGAAGAACUCCGAUUGCGAAGGCAGCUCACUGGACUGCAACUGACACUGAGGCCCGAAAGUGUGGGUAUCAAACAGGAUUAGAUACCCUGGUAGUCCACACAGUAAACGAUGAAUACUCGCUGUUUGCGAUAUACAGUAA